CGUGCACUGGCACUGCAGCUCAGCUAUGUUAUUGGCUGUUAAAUUAUCCGCUCCCUUUCUAAAUCUGGCCACAGGACUCGACUUUGCAGACUUUGGCAGGGGUGAAUUCCACAGGAUGGAGCAGGGGUGAAGUGCAGGGGGACGGAGCAGCUCACGCGGUGGCACUUCUGUUCCCCUCCUGCUGCAGCUGGGUGCUCACCUUCCCAUUGCCUUCCUUGGCGCUAGAAACUUAUUGAAGAUGCCCAAGAAAGAAAUUACAAAAUGCUGAUCUCACAGCCUGUCUCAGUAUUUCAUUUUGAUAAUGCUGGCCUGGUCUGUUACGAGACUGGUGAAUUGCUUCAUUUUGGUGACACAGAGUGCUUUUAUUUUGAAAACGCCACGACAUCACAGUUUGUCAUAAAGUGAAAUAUAAUGUGAGAAACGUCAAAUGGCUUCGGAAGCAGCAGCCUGUAAAACACAAGUCAAAUCUGAAUGAAUCAAAAUAAUACAGCGGAUAGAUGCAUUUUGUUUACCAAAAAGGAUUAUUUAAACAUCACUGAAAUGAAAUGGGACUGAAUGAAUGGCGCUGAAAUGAAAUUCAGCACUUCUCAGUGGUGUUUCCUAGCAUUCCCAGAUUUCAAUGAAACUGCUGCUCUGGCUGUAAAUCUGUUAUCUUAAACCUCCUCACUGCUCAGCUCUCACUUCUAUAGUGACACACCGUUGUCUCAUAAUUCAUUUAACUUGGGAUUUUGUCCUUCUUCCACCGUCUAAAAUACAGAUAUAAUUUCCAAGGUAGUUCUGGACACUCACAAGAUUCUGGUCAAAGAGAGACAGGAUCCUCCAUGGAUUCAUUUCACCCUCACGUGGUGCUUGAGUAUCUGGGAUGAAUCACCUAACACGGAGGCUGGGAUGACUUUCCUGCAGCUGCCUCAGUUUGCUUGGGAGAAUGCGUCUUGCUGAUGUGAGUGGUUUGGGUCACCUGAGGAUGACCCAAUUCCGUGGGCUGGAGCAGAGUGUGACCUUUCAACAACAACAGGACACAGCAAGUCUUCAGCAGGACGGACACCUCCUGGCUGCACCGCAGCAUGGGUAGGAAAGGCAUAUCUGACACUUAGGGAUGGAUAAUAGAUAAUAUCCCAGUGCACACCUCCCCACAGAUGGAGUAGCUUCACCAGGAGGGUUUGGUGUUGGAUGGAGGAGUCCCUGGGUGUAGACUUUCAAUGUCCAUGAGUUCAGACUGGAAUAUCUUGACCCCUUUUAGUGAUCUGUGGUCUUCACCAAGACAACGAUUUCCUUUUCCAUCAGAGGAAACUGAACAACUUCUCUGAGCAAGAAAUGCACAGAUUUCUCUUACCAAGCACAGGGCACUCCUGGAAUAUAUUGAGGUGUUACCACAAUAGAAGAUGCCAGCAGUGGCGUCCUAUGGAGGCCUAUGGAAGAACAUCAAUGUGACAUACACCAUAGUUGAAACAGUAAAUGUUCAUUUUUCCUCUGAGAUUCCUUCCCUUCUUCAUCCAAGAAAGAAUCCCUUGAACACCAGUUCCCCAUCAGUGGAAGGAGCAGCAGAUCUUCAGCAGCAGCAGUAAUAAAACUCAGAGGUUGGAAGGGGACCGAAGGAAAAACACUCUGCAGAGGUUACCAGGCCAAAGCCCCAGGGCAACUGAAAGCUAAAUUAAAAGGGGGAAAAAAAAUGAAUAUCCCAUACUAAACCAAAAACCAAAACCCUAAUGAAAACACUAAAAGCAAUGAUUAAUAUGACAACUGGGCAGCUUUCCCCGAAGACACGAAUUCCCAUCAGGGUAAUCAAAUUUGUCUGAAAAAUGAUAAAUAGCUCUACCACUAACCUAAAAAUGUACCUUGAUCCCACCAAGCUCAAUCCCUUCAAACACUAGUUGCUUCAUUUAAAAAAAAAAAAAAAAAAUUAAAAAAAAAUUAAAUAAACAAAUAAUAUAAAACAAAACCCACAGUCCCAACACAGGCUUUUUCAAAGUUACCUCAGUCUUUUUUGGCUGUUCAAUCCACUCCCUGGUGUCCAGGUGUAAACAAUUCCCAAAAAGAGACGUCUGUAUCCCUGAAUUCCAGAAGAGGUAGCGCUUUGUCUUUCUUUCCCAAAAAGGCCGCCUUUAUGCUGAGUUUCUCAACCAAACUGGGGAUGUUUAGGCCUUUUGAUUAUUUUUCCCUUCCUUUUUUUUUUUUUUUUAAACAUUCCCCUCUGCUCCCAUUGGUGGCCCUUUAUUUCUUAAUGACAUUCUUCUUCCUCUUGCGCAAAGCUUUCUCAUCUCCUUUUCCACUGCCUGCUCCCCACAAAUCCCACAUGCCUUGGCAAACCUUUGUGCUUCAUACCGAUGCUUGAUGCCUGUCCUGGCCCUGAGGAGAUAGACUGGUUCUAGCAAGGCUUUCCAAGCCAGGAUGAAAAGGGGCAUUUGUGAGCAUGGUUGUGCUAGAUGGGUCAAAUGUUACAUCUAUCCCUAAUAAUAAAGCUCUGAGCCUUUGGGCAUCA